rnacentral:misc_RNA from 1 species
AUAAAUCUACGCCCUCUAUCACUUGUAUCCUUUUCCUCAGCAAUAAGAGCAUUUAACAGCUUAAGGAAAGAUAUUGUUGAAGGAUAUCGCUCUAUUCUUGCUUCUAUUUCAUUCAACUCAUAUCUCAUAUCGUAAACCUGAGCUGCCAUUGGUUUUGCACUGUUUCCAACACGAGUGCCAACAACUAAUGGCAAAUCAUACUGCUCAAG